UGAGGAAUAUUGCACAAUGGGGGCAACCCUGAUGCAGCGACGCCGCGUGGGUGAUGACGGCCUUCGGGUUGUAAAGCCCUUUUGCCACUGAUGAGGAAGGACAGUAGGUGGCGAAUAAGCCUCGGCUAACUACGUGCC
rnacentral:rRNA from 1 species